AGCCCAGACUCCUACGGGAGGCAGCAGUGGGGGAUAUUGCACAAUGGGGGGAACCCUGAUGCAGCGACGCCGCGUGGGUGAAGGAGUAUUUCGGUAUGUAAAGCCCUAUCGGCAGGGAAGAAGCAAGACGGUACCUGACUAAGAAGCACCGGCUAAAUACGUGCCAGCAGCCGCGGUAAUACGUAUGGUGCAAGCGUUAUCCGGAUUUACUGGGUGUAAAGGGAGCGCAGGCGGCGCGUUAAGCCUGGUGUGAAAGCCCGCGGCCCAACCCCGGGACUGCAUUUGGAACUGUGCUGCUAGAGUGUCGGAGAGGCAGGCGGAAUUCCUAGUGUAGCGGUGAAAUGCGUAGAUAUUAGGAGGAACACCAGUGGCGAAGGCGGCCUGCUGGACGAUGACUGACGUUGAGGCUCGAAAGCGUGGGGAGCAAACAGGAUUAGAUACCCCCGUAUC
rnacentral:rRNA from 1 species